ACGAGUGGGCCCCAUGGGUGUCAGGGGACUCGAAGGCCUCUCUCCAACUCAUUUCAUUUUCUUCUAUGAUCUUAAGAAAUCAACAAACAGGGGGUUGGAGUAGAUUUCUGUAAGGCGGUUAAAUGCCACAGCAACUAAUGCUUAGCAAUGCUUGGCUUGGACAAAGAGUAAAGCUCAUUGUCCAGAGCGUCACUGGGAAAUGGGGCUGCUGAGCUUAAUGGAAAAUUUCACAGUACACAGCAAGUCAAUUUUGGGUUGUCCCACCCACUCAAAAGUUGUAGAAUGAGCUUGUUGCUCCAGCCUGGAACACAUCUAACUGGAACACAGAGGUAAGAGUUACAUACGAGCAACAGACUAGCUUCUCGGUCCUCUUGGCAUCCUCUAAAUCACCUUUCAUGAUACUCUUUUAUAUUACUUAGUCAUUCGCUCAUUUACUUAUUCAACCAAUAUUUACUAAGUCUUAAUAUGUGUCAGGCACCAUUCUCAAUGCUGAGGAUACAGCAAUGAACAAAAGGGACCGAAAUCCCUGCCCCUGUGGUAUUUACAAGCGAGUGCAGGGAAGGUCAGGCAAAACAAGAAAAACAUGUCAUGAAAAACAAAACAGUAGAGGAUUUAUUCCAGAUUACAAGAAACCAAAGAGACGUUACCAAGUACAAUGUGUAAACCUUGAUUCUAUCCGGGGUCAGAAAACAAACAGCCAAAUAUAUUUGAGAACAAUCAGGGAAAUUGUAACUUGCAUUAGAUGUUAGAUGAUGUUAUGGAAUUAUUGUUCAUUUUGUUAAAUGUGAUAAUGACAUAGGGAUUAUGCAGGAGAACAGGAGA